rnacentral:tRNA from 1 species
GCGGCUUUAGUACAUCGGUUAGUAUUCGACCUUCCCAAGGUUGAGAGACGGGUUCGAUUCCCGUAAGCCGCA